GAUGAAGAACGCAGUGAAAUGCGAUAAGUAAUGUGAAUUGCAGAAUUCAGUGAAUCAUCGAAUCUUUGAACGCAUCUUGCGCUCCUUGGUAUUCUGAGGAGCAUGCCUGUUUGAGUGUCAUUAAAUUCUCAACUACACUGACUUUGAAUUGGUGUGGCUUGGAUUUGGGGGGAAAAUUGUUGUGGGCUUUUUGUAUAGUCUGCUCCCCUGAAAUUGAUUAGCGGUACCUUUGUGGAACUGUCUACAGGUGUGAUAAUUAUCUACAUCUUAGACAUCUGCUGGGAUGCUGCUUUCUAAACCUUACUUGUAUUGACAAUCUUGACCUCAAAUCAGGUAGGACUACCCGCUGAACUUAAGCAUAUCAAUAAGCGGAGGA
rnacentral:misc_RNA from 1 species